CCUAAUUCUAUUCUUCACGACCUCGGUCAGCCGUCACGCCACGGCAGGUCGAUGGCAGCGAAGCCGGCAAUCGUUGUUAAGAACUCCAAUUUAGAGGGUAUGAAUGAUAUUUCUCAAAAGAGAAACCUGAUCACCAGAUCCAAAUAGGAGUAUUAUAAUUCAAGGCCACCUAUAGACGCAGGGUUUUUAAUUUUAAGAGUGAUUACUUGGUAAUUGGAAUAUGGCGACUUGUCAAUUUUUGGCGGUGAUUCACAUAUACUUGGGUCAUUCUCCAAUGGCCAGAUGCACCCGAACUAGGUUAACUCCAUAAUCACACAAUUUAAUCAGUAUGCUUUUAUAAUUACUAGUUAAAUGUGUUGAUGUGGAAUAAGAAAUAAUAAU